AGGAUGCUAUCUCUUUAAGAGGUCCGUGUCCUCCCUCAAACCAAACUCGAUCAAUUUUUGCCGGCUCCUCUGACAAGCAGAGGUAUUAUGAUUUUUUUUUUUCAUUUGUCAGCUUUUGUGUUUCCGAACUUGUGCUUCUAUGCACGUGAAUCUGUUGACGGGACUCUUGCAACACCCUCUGCCCUUUUGAAGGUUGUGGGAGACAUUGUUUACAUUUGGUGAUUACUGAAGGCUCAUUUGAUAUGACUAUUUUUGGAAAAUUCUGUUAUCAAGACUUUAAACAGCAAGGACAAAGAAAAGGAAUCCUCAUUCAUCUUUUCUUCUGAAAUCCACCAAAACAGAUGAGAACCAGACUGGACUGUUUUAAGCAGCUUUAUGGGCCUGCAUAGCUCCUCUCCUUCCCAGGGAGCCUGGUCUCCAGCAGCUAUGCCCCAUUCAUCACCUGCUUUCAAUGGUCGAAACCAAGCCGCCUCCAGCUAGAGGGCCAGGUAGGGUGCCGGGUGGUGCACAAUGUUUGGGGGAUUAGCAAUCAAAGGAGUGCGGAGGCUAGGGCCCUUCGUCCAAGUCGGCCAUUCACUCCAAGCAGGGGAGGAGAACUCCAGCAGUGGCCAAGGUCAACGUCUCCAACUCAGCUGGAGGUAACUGGGAAAGAACCCUGGGAACCAGCCGCCUGUGCUGUGGUAAUCACCGGCUAGCAGGCUAGCAGCACAGCAGGAGUCUCACCCACCAAACAUUCAUCAGUUUGAGCUGCUGAUAGCAUGGCUGACAACAAGAUAAUGCCUUGCUUUUACUUCUCUCAAACUUUCUUCUUCUGUCCUCUCUUCUUUCCUUCUUUCUUUCUUGAAUUUUGUUCCGUUCCAUCCUCAUACUAUGGGAUUGGUUGUCUUUCUUUGAGUUAAACUAUGUGCUGAGUUAGCAAAACAACGGAAGAGUACAACAGUCUUUGAAGUCAGAAUUAGGCUUUCAUGAAAGCAAGUGACUUGUCUCCAAAUUUCCUCCUAUGGCAUAACUUGGUUACCACGGUUUCAAACAAAGCAUACCAAACUGUAGUGCACUUUGAAAAAACCUUUCUUUAAUUUGAAUAGUUAGAACAUGACAAUUCACAGUAUGGCCAUAAAAGUGCAAACUUUUUGUCAGAGUGAGAAAUCCCUCUUUUUUACUGCUAUCGCCAUCCCGAAGCUCUUAAUGGAAUACUGAUUUUGGACGUUGCAUAAGCUGAUUUGGUACCCUGUGGUGCGAGACAUUGGACUGAGAAACCCUGAUGGGACAGCUGGUUGUAGACUCGCAUACUGUGGUAAAGUACCCCAUGCAUUAUUGUAGAUUGCACUGAACAGAUUAGCUUAGCGCGCUAGGACUGACAAGAGGGAAACAAGCAAUGAGGUAACGAUGAAAUAAAAUGAUUCGUUGUCGUUUUUCCAGUCGCAGGCAGGAAUGCAACCAUGCCCCACCACCCCACCCUCCCACUAACACACCCCUGUUGGGAUAUUGGCAAGUUGUCAUGACGACAGGGAUGUUCUCCUGAUGAAGUCUCGCUUAGCGGCAUCCAAUCAGAUUGUGGAGCUACAACCGCAGCGUGAACAGGGGAGGACGCACCUAUUCCAGUUGCACAAUGCUGAGAAAGGACAGGCGAAACUCUGGACCACCAACGGGAAAUUGGCAAUCCGUGGGAGGCUGUCAAUGUGCUGCUAUGGUUCGACAAUACACAAACAGCGGGGGUCGUGGAUACAGAGGCUGCCAGGGUACAAAGGAAGGCAUAGGAUACCAGCCAUUGGGGAAAGCUGUCAACAAGGUGGCUAAGCUGGCAGUGCCAGGGGCUCACACCGGGACCAGAGCUGCCUGAAGUAAAGACUCAAGGAUGCUGCAAGAUGACAAGGGACAGCUGGAGGAGUUGAAGACGCUUCACUCUGAGAGUUGACACAAUGGACAACAGUAAACAAGAUGAAUACUUGGCCCUGGAUCAAAGGCAGACCCCAACCGGCCACUCAGGCCACCACAAAGGGGCGUUGGGCACUGGCGUGGGGCCAGGUGCUGCACAUGGCCACAUAGCCAGGGACAAGGCAUGCAGAUGGGGCCUGCAGCGCCCUCGCUGCCUCCACCCUUGCUCCCAUGUACCAGAGACUGCAGAUCCAGCAAAGACUGGCGGCCUGCGCAGCGGGAAAACAACCAGCUGAGGUCGGCUCAAGUCUUACAGCAAGAUUGGAGCGAGACCAAAGAUGCAGCAGAAGAAUAGUCCUGGACUCCAUUAUCUCAGCGACAAGGAAUGGGAAAUGGAAUUAAAAACACCCAAAACAAGGUCUGUCACACAUCAGCAACACAGGCCUCCAUUUUCCAAUGUCUAUAUAGCCUUAUGCUAUACAAAAUGCACUCUGAAAAUCAAAACAGC